UACGUAGGGAGCAAGCGUUGUCCGGAAUCAUUGGGCGUAAAGCGCGCGUAGGCGGCCCUGUAAGUCCGUUGUGAAAGUCAAAGGCUCAACCUUUGAAAGCCGAUGGAUACUGCAGGGCUGGAGUCCGGAAGAGGCGAGUGGAAUUCCUGGUGUAGCGGUGGAAUGCGCAGAUAUCAGGAGGAACACCAAUAGCGGAGGCAGCUCGCUGGGACGGUACUGACGCUGAGGCGCGAAAGCGUGGGGAGCGAACAGG
rnacentral:rRNA from 1 species